CGCCUGUUUAUCAAAAACAUGUCUAUUUGAAGAUAUAAAAAGUUUGACCUGCCCAGUGAUAAAUUAUUUUAACGGCCGCGGUAUUUAUAACCGUGCAAAGGUAGCAUAAUAAUUAGUCUUUUAAUUGAAGGCUUGUAUGAAUGGUUUGACAAGAGAAAUACUAUCUAUUAAUAAUAAAAAUUGAAUUUAACUUUAAAGUGAAAAGGCUUUAAUAAUUCAGAGGGACGAUAAGACCCUAUAAAGUUUUAUAGAAGUUAAUUUUUUAUUCUAAAAUUUUAAAAAUUAAGAUUUUAUAUUUUAUUAAGUUGGGGAAACUUAAGUAUAAUUAAUUAUAAUUGCUUGUAAUUAAUACAAAAAUAUUUGAGUAAAAAUUAAAUGAUCCUUUAAUUUUUAAAGAUUUAAAAGAUUAAAUUACUUUAGGGAUAACAGCGUUAUUUUUUUUGAGAGUUCUUAUUGAAAAAAAAGUUUGCGACCUCGAUGUUGAAUUAAAAAUUCUAUAUAAUGCAGUUGUUAUAUAAGGAAGGUCUGUUCGACCUUUAAAAUUUUACGUGAUCUGAGUUCAGACCGG
rnacentral:rRNA from 1 species